rnacentral:lncRNA from 1 species
UAUUAAGUCGUUGGACAGAAUAGUAAGAUAAUCGAUUAUCUUAUCCAGAUAAUCGACUAUCUUGAAAGGUUGACCAAAAUUUUGCAAAACAGUAGCAUAGAAUAAUCGACUAUUUUUAUGAAAUAAUCGAUUAUUCUGCUUUGUUCAUCAAAAAAUUUUUGAAACAGAACCUGAGGAUAAUCGAUUAUUUUUAAAAUAAUCGAUUAUCUGGAAUUUUUCAGCAAAAUUGGAAAUUCCAGAGAGCCAAGAUAAUCGA